AGCUACGGCAUCAGUAAUGAUGGGUAGGGGAGCUUCCCAUACGGGUUGAAGCAUGACCGUAAGGACAUGUGGACAGUAUGGGAGUGAGAAUGUUGGCAUGAGUAGCGAGAUGUGGGGGAGAAUCCCACAGGCCGUAAACCCAAGGUUUCCAGGGGAAGGUUCGUCCGCCCUGGGGUAGUCGGGACCUAAGCUGAGGCCGAAAGGCGUAGGUGAUGGACAACAGGUUGAUAUUCCUGUACUAC
rnacentral:rRNA from 1 species